AGGAUAAUAGUUAUUAAAAAUAUCUAAUUUGCAUUUAGAAGAUACUGAAUCUCAGUUUAUCUU
rnacentral:tRNA from 1 species